AAGAGACGCCCACACGCGCCGCGAAGGAUCCCUAGCGGAGACAGUAGGGACAACCCUCCCGGGAAAGGAUCGACCCUCCGCUUCCAGGAGUGCCCGGCACUCCCCAGUCCCGGACCAAUUCAGAGGCCAUUGGAGGCCAGCUGCGAAACCCCUGGGGCUCCUUCGGUCGAUCGGACCCCGGGUGGCUCAUCCUGUCCAGGCCUCCCCGCCCAAACCGGGGUCCCAGAUCUCAGCGGAGUUCACGAUUCUCGGAACAGUGGCCGCCAGCCGCUUGGACUACUGCUACGGCGACCCCGUGUGGUCCCCAGCGCGGGCUCCAAGGAGAAGGGUUCUCGGCCGCACUGCGGCUUUGCACCAAGGGAUAGGAAAUGAGCCGGCGACAGAAACGCGAAAAGGAGUCUCCGGGGCUGGGUAUGGAGACCCGGGACGCUCGGGGACCAUCACGCUCCGGGACCAUCUGUGACUGCCAGCCCGCCACUCCACAAGCACCGACGCCACUUCGGAGGUGAACUUCCAGGGAAGGGUGCAGUCAAAAGAAGCCUAACCCCACACCACGGUGGCAGGGCGAGACCUCGUUGAGAGGGGCUCCUGUGACCUGCGCGACCCGCAUAAGUGGCAUGAAAGCUAACCAAACCUCCGAGGUCCCACCCGCGGACAGCGUCACACAGAGCUCCGGGUCCAAAGCCCGACUAGUCCCGCGCGUUUGCGCCUCGGGGCACGGGGCCUGCGCUCCUGGAUCGGGUCCCGGGAAUCGGAAACAGAGCUCGCGCUUCCCCGCAUCCUCCCGGCUUCGCCGCUCAGCUCGGCAUCCCCGAACCCAGCCUCGCAGCCCCGGCUCUAGCUCCCGUCGUCCCGCACUCACCGCGCCCCCGCUCCCGGCGCCCGCGCAGCCUCCGCCCGCUGUCCCGGCGCCGCCGUCUCUCCGCGGGACUGCAGGCCAGGGACGGUGAGGGGGCAGGGCGGUGCGGAGGGGCGGGGCCGCUGCAGGUAACAAUGCUGCCUACCCGGCUGCUCCUCCAGCCGGCCGCAAAGGACAGCACGCCCUUUCCUGCUCCGCUGCCUCCCUCGCUCCCCCUUCAACCCUAAGAGCACCGCCACUGCGCUCGCCCUCGCCAGCUCCGGGCUCCGGAGACUCGAAAGCCGCCGCCCAGCACGCUGCUCCUGGCACCUGAAGACCAGCUCCGGGCUGGGCGGGCAACCACAGAGUGACUUGUGACGAUGCCAGGCAGAGAGCGAAGUGAGUAGUCAAAGAAAACUCACCCUGGACAAACCGGCUGCUGGCAUCUCAGCUGCCGGGGUGGGAAGCGCCCUCUGCGGGAAUGAAGUCAUCCUACCCUUUUCUGGGUGCGCCCAGAUAACCGACCAGAGCGUUCCUUUCCCAAGCUCUGGGGCCUGAGGACUUCCAGCUACUCCACCAGGUUCUCAGGUCCUGGACUCCGUCCUAAUUCCUCACCUCCUACUGCGAGCCUUGCACAGGACGAGAGAAGCCACAAGCACAGAACUGAGACUUCCUAUCUGGUUAGCCAGCUGCUUCCAUACUCAGCCAUCGAUACGUUCUUCGAACUGGUCCUUCUCUUCCCUACAACUACCCAGUGACAACAGGGGUCUUCGGUCACUCAAGGCCAGAGACCUCGGCCUCUAGAGUAUGGAGGGAGCCAUCAGCUUGAUGCAAGCUCUUUGAAGCAGGAUAUAAAAACAUGAAGGCAACAGUCAGGCAUCAUAACAUUUUAUGGUGAACUGAAGAAACGCAGGCUUGCACAGGCCGGUUAACAUUUCAGAAGACAUGCCGGUGCUUGACCUAAAGCAAGGCGGCCCACAAGUGGACUGAAAAACAAUACUAGCUCUCUCUCACAGGGCUUGAGGAGAGUGAUGAAGACGUUUUUUUUUUUUUUUCCAGGUGGAAUAAAAACAAAAACAAAACCCAAAACCAACCAAACAAAAACACAGCCAAGAGGAUGGGGACCGAAGCAUUCCAUGUGGAGCCUCUACUGUUUUAGUUACCCUGAGAGAGGGGAGGACCCCUGACUUCAAUUGGAGAGAGACUACGUAUGCCCUUGGGAAGAAGGCAGCGUGGCUCUUUUCAGCCUGGAGCCGAACUGCUUCCAUGAGCCAGGCAUAAGGCUGCAAAGAGGACCAGAGGAGGAAAACACUGUAAUACUGAGAUAUCAGCAGGUUAACAAUUGUGAAUGCUUCCUUAGCUGGGUGAACCCAAUUCACCACCAGCAAGCAGGAAUUCACAGUAAAGAGUGAGCUCCAAGAACUAAACAGGCAGAGUUCUUUCUAGAAUAAACCAAGGUCGUUGUGGAGGUUGCUGGCAAGGAAGUCUGAAGUGGCCUGGACUACAAGGACUUGUGUUGAAGGGGGGGGGGGGGAAAGACUUGUUUUCAUUGCUCUGCUCAUGGGCACAAAUAGUGACUCUGAAGUCUUGAAAACCCCAACACAGCACUACAGCCCAUUAUGUCACUGCGGUUUUGUUUUAAAAGGACAAAGAGGCAAGUUAGAACCCGAGCCUGCUGCCAGCCUCAGUGCUGACUUUUUCCUCUCCUUCUGGCUCAAUAGGAGAAAAACGCUAACUAAAAGUCACAAAGCAAAUCCCGACUUUUUGAAAGGUAGCUCAAUGGGACCAUUUACCACCGUUUCCUACCUCACUGCUUGUUGACCCCUCUAUGAGACAAGCAAAGUGACUUUUCUCUUUCUGCCACAAUGAGAGUCUGUAGUUCCUUUGAUGGCUACUUCAGACACCAAAGACACCAAGACAGCAUGAAUAUGACAUGGCUUGCUUCUCCGUUUGCUAUCUAUGCUGCCCACAUUUUACCCUGACAUAAUUUAUACAAACACACCGUGUUUGUAUAAACAAAGCCAGAAGCAGAACAGUAAGAAAA
rnacentral:lncRNA from 1 species